rnacentral:rRNA from 1 species
UACGAAGGGGGCUAGCGUUGCUCGGAAUUACUGGGCGUAAAGCGCACGUAGGCGGCUUUCUAAGUCGGGGGUGAAAUCCCGGGGCUCAACCCCGGAACUGCCUUUGAUACUGGUAGUCUCGAGUCCGGAAGAGGUGAGUGGAAUUCCGAGUGUAGAGGUGAAAUUCGUAGAUAUUCGGAGGAACACCAGUGGCGAAGGCGGUUCUCUGGGCCUUACCUGACGCUGAGGAGCGAAAGCGUGGGGAGCGAACAGG